AGCGAACGCUGGCGGCAGGCCUAACACAUGCAAGUCGAACGAACCUUUCGGGGUUAGUGGCGGACGGGUGAGUAACACGUGGGAACGUGCCUUUAGGUUCGGAAUAACUCAGGGAAACUUGUGCUAAUACCGAAUGUGCCCUUCGGGGGAAAGAUUAAUCGCCUUUAGAGCGGCCCGCGUCUGAUUAGCUAGUUGGUUGAGGUAAUGGCUCACCAAGGCGACGAUCAGUAGCUGGUCUGAGAGGAUGAUCAGCCACAUUGGGACUGAGACACGGCCCAAACUCCUACGGGAGGCAGCAGUGGGGAAUCUUGCGCAAUGGGCGAAAGCCUGACGCAGCCAUGCCGCGUGAAUGAUGAAGGUCUUAGGAUUGUAAAAUUCUUCCACCGGGGACGAUAAUGACGGUACCCGGAGAAGAAGCCCCGGCUAACUUCGUG
rnacentral:rRNA from 1 species